rnacentral:rRNA from 1 species
UACGAAGGGGGCUAGCGUUGUUCGGAAUUACUGGGCGUAAAGCGUGCGCAGGCGGCCAUCCAAGUCUGUUGUGAAAUCUCCGGGCUCAACUCGGAGUCUGCAUCAGAAACUGCCGUGCUGGAGUGUGGGAGAGGUGAGUGGAAUUCCCGGUGUAGCGGUGAAAUGCGUAGAGAUCGGGAGGAACACCUGCGGCGAAAGCGGCUCACUGGACCAUAACUGACGCUGAUGCACGAAAGCUAGGGGAGCAAACAGG